AUUGAACGCUGGCGGCAUGCCUUACACAUGCAAGUCGAACGGCAGCACGGGAGCAAUCCUGGUGGCGAGUGGCGAACGGGUGAGUAAUAUAUCGGAACGUGCCCAGUCGUGGGGAUAACGUAGCGAAAGCUACGCUAAUACCGCAUACGAUCUAUGGAUGAAAGCGGGGGAUCGCAAGACCUCGCGCGAUUGGAGCGGCCGAUAUCAGAUUAGGUAGUUGGUGGGGGUAAAGGCUCACCAAGCCAACGAUCUGUAGCUGGUCUGAGAGGACGACCAGCCACACUGGAACUGAGACACGGUCCAGACUCCUACGGGAGGCAGCAGUGGGGGAAUUUUGGACAAUGGACGCAAGUCUGAUCCAGCCAUUCCGCGUGCAGGAUGAAGGCCCUCGGGUUGUAACUGCUUUUGUACGGUAACGAAAGGUUUACUAUUAAUACUAGGAGCUCAUGACGGUACCGUAAGAAUAAGCACCGGCUAACUACGU
rnacentral:rRNA from 1 species